AUUGGAUUUCAUAAUCUGCAACGCUCCGUGGAGAGUGAAAGCUGGGUUACAAGGUGCUUGCUAACUGAGGCUUCGUGGUCAGCAUAUAUCACUAGUGGAUGAGUCUGGCGUUUGUCAAGCCCCAGAACAUGAUGAACAACCCAUUACCACCAGAGUAAUGGAGAGGUCUGAACGUCCACAAAUGACAACCGGGAGCAAUUGAAGUAUGAUGGGGAAGGAGGAUGGGCUGCAGCUCCAGGUGAAAAGAAGAAUUGGAUCAACAGCUGAUACUGAGAGAGGCAGGAGGUUUUCACUCCCUUCAAGACUCCAUAUUGUAUGUUUUUCCAGACUAUCCU
rnacentral:lncRNA from 7 species